rnacentral:rRNA from 1 species
UAGCGGAGCGUGUGGUUUAAUUCGAUGCAACGCGAAGAACCUUACCAGGGUUUGACAUGCUUGAAGUAGAAACUCGAAAGAGGGACGACCUGUAUCCAGUCAGGAACAUGCACAGGUGCUGCAUGGCUGUCGUCAGCUCGUGCCGUGAGGUGUUAGGUUAAGUCCUGCAACGAGCGCAACCCUCGUCGCUAGUUAAUUUCUCUAGCGAGACUGCCCGUAUAACGCGGAGGAAGGUGGGGAUGACGUCAAGUCAGCAUGGCCCUUACAUCCUGGGCUACACACACGCUACAAUGGGUGAUACAAUAGGUUGCAAUAGAGCGAUCUGGAGCCAAUCCAAAAAAUCAUCCUCAGUUCGGAUUGCAGGCUGAAACUGCCUGCAUGAAGUUGGAGUUGCUAGUAACCGCAUAA